GCAGAUGUGAAGCUGGGACUUUCAGCCCUGAUGUGCAGGCUUUAUCUCCAAAAACACAACAGAGCUGGGCCUGUCUCCAGCAAUCACUGUGUGGGAGGCGGGAAACACCCUGGACAGGUGACAAGUUCAUCACAGGGACACAUAGAGACAAACAACCAUUCACACUCUUGCCCACACCUUGGGACACAUUUAGAGUUGCCAAUUAACCCAGCAUGUCUGUUUUGGGUCUGUGGGAGGGACCAGGAGUACGAGGAGAAAAGCCUCCAAAGCUUGCAGUGGGAGAAAGGUCCACAAUAAAAAAACACUAGCUUGGAGGUAAUCUUCUUACUGAGAGGCUACAUGCAGCAGAUARACCAUCAUAUAAAAUAUAUCUUGUCUUAUUUAAUAGUAUUGCUGAUUAGUAUACCUUGGGGUGGUGCAGUGGUUAGUAAUGCUGCCUCUCAGUGAGAAGACCUUUCUCUCUAUCACAUCCUAUUGUAAUGUAAUGUUUCCUAUUAUAAUUCAAUUGUCCUUAUGUUGCCCUGUUUCUCAUCAGAUUGUUUGGUGUCUUGUCAUAACAUGUAGUGAUGUAGCCUUUUGAAUUGUAAUAUAUUUUAGCACAUUGUAUUAGUAGGGCAUCAUUUCAUUGUAUUUAAAUAUACUGUAUCUUAUAGGAACACACACAAAACAAUAUUCAGUUAUACUGUUGAGCCACAAGAUACAUUUGAAAUGGCCCUCUACACAUUUUAACCAGUGUUCAAACUGCAUAACAUCACAGUUAAUGCCUUUUCAUGUAGUUAUUAUUUAAAAAAAAGAUGUGCCAUGGAGUGUAAUGAUGACCUACCGUUGUGGAAUCAGACCGUGACGAGCUUGAGUUGUUUUUUUUCCCCCUGAUGUUAUCAAAUUUUGUUAAGCCUUUCAGUUAAAAAAAAACUAAUUUGAAGUAAAAACCAUGCACACCCUCACCCCACUCUCUCACACAAGCAACAAACAAUGAGUCUGAACUGCAGCAGUGCCAAUAAAAUUAUGAAACAAUUUACUUUUUGUCUGUUUGUGCUUUAUUAUACAAGUGAAUAUUCUCAAUCUCUAACAGUUUACGUUGAGCUACCCUGUCAGUGGUAAACAAAUAAAUCACACACACACACGCACAAAGAGUUAAUACACGGGUGGAUUCCCAGUCGAGGUCCCCUUCUCACACUUCUCCAGAAAUUAGCAUUUUAAUGGCCCAAGCUGCUCCAUGUCCCCCACAUCAGAGUGAAAGCUCAGCUGAAAUCAUGGGUGAGUGCUUUCGAGCGAUCCACUGAGAUAAACCAGCUCCCACAUAAACACAGGCCCAAAACCAAAAAAAA